rnacentral:lncRNA from 10 species
CCGCCUGCGAAGUGCUCCGCGGCCGGCGGAGACGCGGGCAGCCAGCGAUGGCCGCGGAGGGGGCGAACUGGGUUCCGGCCCUCGGAGGCUGACGGAAGGCGGUGGCUGAGGAGCGGCGCCUCUGGUUGAGCGCUCGCCGUGUGUCCCGCACCUGUCUGUCCUGCCGCCGCCCGGUAAGGUAGGAAAGGUCAGCGCGCCGGGGUUACGGGUACAGAACCUGGGUUCGAAUCCCGGCCCCGACGUUUCCGCACUACGUGCCGUUGGGCAGGAGCUGACGUCACCUUGCCGGGCCUCAGUUUCCUUCUCUGGUGCGCUGAGGAGGCGGGGCAUGGAACGUGGUCAGCGCUUCAUCGGUGCUGGCUCUUUGAGCAAGCCAGUUCCCGAAGGCUCAGCAUCUCAUUCAUUCAUUAAAAUGUCAUUGAGCGCCUACUGUGUGUCAAUCACUGUAUGGGCAGUGAGCAGAAAAAAAAUACCUGGUCUUAUUGGGCUAACAUUCUAAACCAGCGCUGGCCUAGAAUGCCCUAGUAGAAAUACAUGCAAGCUACAUGUUUAAUUUUUUUUUAUGUAAAGAUGGGCUCUGGUUCUGUUGCCCAGGCUGGUCUCGAACUCCUGGACUCAAGCGAUUCUCCUGCCUCCGCCUCCCAAAGAGCUGGGAUUACAGGCAUGCCUGCACUCUGCCUAAUUUUUUCUUUUUUUUUUUUAUGAUCUGAAAAUAAUAGUCUUUUUAUUUUUAUUUAUUUAUUUAUUUAUUUGAGACGGAGACUCGCUCUGUCGCCAGGCUGGAGUGCAGUGGCGUGAUCUCCGCUCACUGCAACCUCCGCUUCCCAGGUUCAAGCGAUUCUCCUGCCUCAGCCUCCUAAGUAGUUGGGCCUACAGGCGCUGCGCCACCACAACCAGCUAAUUUUUGUAUUUUUAGUAGAGACGGGGUUUCACCGUGUUGGCCAUGAUGAUCUGUAUCUCUUGACCUCGUGAUCUGCCCGCCUCAGCCUCCCAAAGUGCUGGGAUUACAGGCUUGAGCCACUGCGCCUGGCCUACAAUUUUGUUUUUCUUUUUUUUUUUUUUUUUUUGAGACAGGAUCUCACUCUGUCACCCAAUUUGGAGUGCGGUGGUAUGAUCACAGCUAACUGCAGCCUCAACUUCCCCAGCUCAGGCAAUCAAUCCUCCGGCUUCAGAUUCCUGAGUAGCUUAGACUACAGGAUGUGCCACUAUGCCUGGCUAAUGUUUUAUUUUUUUGUAGCGAUGAGGUCUUGCUGUAUUGCCUAGGCUGGUCUCAAACUUCUAGACUUAAGUGAUCCUCCUGCUUUGGCCUCCCAAAGUGUUGGGAUUACAGGCGGGAGCCACGGUGCCCAGCCUGUUUCUUUUUUUAAUCAUAUUUUCUUAGAAGUUUUUUUUUUUUUUUUUUUUUUUUUUGGAGACAGGGUCUCACUCUGCUGUGCAGGCUGGAAUGCAGUGGUGUGAUCUCAGCUCACUGCAACCUCUGCCUCCCUAUUCAAGUGAUUCUCGUGCCUCAGCCUCCCAAGUAGCUGGGAUCACAGGCGUGCAACAUCACACCCAGCUAAUUCUUGUGGUUUUAGUAGAGAUGGGGUUUUGCCAUGUUGGCCAGGCUGGUCUCAAACUCCUGGCCUCAAGUGAUCCACCCACCUCGGCCUCCCAAAGUGCUGGGAUUACAGGCAUGAGCCACCACCCGGCCUAGGAAAGCUUUUUAGAGAUUGGGUCUCACUGUGUUGCCCAGGCUGGAGUGCAGUGGCUGUUCACAGGUGCAAUCAUCCCACAGGUUUAACUCCUGACCUCAAGCAGUCCUUCUGCCUCAGGCUCCCAAGUAGCUGGGAUUAUAGGCACGUGCCACCACACCUAGCUCAAUUAAAUGUUAAAUUUAACAUUUAAUUGUUAAAUUUUAUAGUAGCCAGCAUUCUGGGUCAUCACGGUGCAAUAGAAGUAUAAACAAAGCAGGCCAGGCACAGUAGGUCACGCCUGUAAUCCCAGCACUUUGGGAGGCCGAGGCGGGCAGAUCACCAGGUCAGUAGUUCGAGACCAGCCUGGCCAACAUGUUGAAACCCCAGUCUCUACUAAAAAUACAAAAAUUAGCUGGACGUGGUGGCAGGAGCCUGUAAUCCCAGCUACUCGGGAGGCUGAGGCAGGAGAAUCGCUUGAAACUGGAAAGUGGAGGUUGCAGUGAGCCGAGAUCCCGCCACUGCACUCCAGCCUAGGUGAAAGAGGGAAAUUACAUCUCAAAAAAACAGUAUAAGCAAGCCACAGAUUUGUCAGCGAGGUAUGUAAUUUAAAUUGGUACAUUGUUAGCCAUGUUUAAAAAUAAGUAAAAAGAAACGGGUGAUGUUAGUUGUAAUGUGUUUUAUUUAACUCAGUAGGUUGAAUAUGUUAUUAUUUAAACAUGUAGUCAAUAUUUUAAAAUACAGGAUGUUUUGCAUCUGUUAUCUUUCCAAAAUAGAAGAUACUUUGUGUCCUUUUUCUUUCCUGCAUGCUUUUUUUUUCUUAUUUUUUUGAGACAGAGUCUCACUCUGUUGCCAAGGCUGGAGUGCAGUGGCGGGAUCUCGGCUAACUGCAACCUCCCCAUCCCGGGUUCAAGCGAUUCUCCUGCCUCAGCCUCCCGAGUAGCUGCGAUUACAGACAUUUGCCACCAUGCCCGGCACAGCACAGCACCGCACAUCUCCAGUCGGACUGGCUACAUUUCAAGGGCUCAACCAUCACGCGUUACCAGUGGCUACUGCAUCAGACUGUGCAGUGCUAGAUGGGGAGUCAGAAGAGAAACCAAGUGAUUUCCAUGUCAAGUGGUGAACAGGCUAAGAAGAAAAGUCCACUUACAGCUGGAUUUACUUCCACCUCUGCCACCUGUGAGACAGCGAGACCAACCCCUCCUCCUCCUCUUCCUAGCCUACUCCGAGUGAAGAUGAUGAAGAUGAAGACCGUUAUGAUCCACUUCCACUUAAUGAAAGAUGAAUAUAUUUUCUCUUCCUAAUGAUUUUUUUUUUUUUUUUUUUGGAGACAGAGUCUCGCUGCAUCCCCCAGGCUGGAGUACAGUGGUAUGAUCUUGGCUCACUGCAACCUCUGCCUCCUAGGUUCAAGUGAUUCUCCUGCCUCAGUCUCCCGAGUAGCUGGGAUUACAGGCGCCCACCACCAUGCCCGGCUAAUUUUUGUAUUUUUAGUAGAGAUGGGGUUUCACUAUGUUGGCCAGGCUGGUCUCAAACUCCUGACCUCAGGUGAUCUGCCUGACUUGGCCUCCCAAAGUGCUGGGAUUACAGGCAUGAGCCACCUUGCCUGGCCUCUUCCUAAUGAUUUUUUAAAGUACAUCUUGUUUUCUCUGUCUUACUUUAUCAUAAAAAUAUAUGAUACAAAUAAAAUACAGAAUAUGUGUUAAUGGACUGUGUAUGUUAUGAGUAAGCCUUCCAGUCGACAGUGGGCUAUUAUUGGUGGUUAAGUUUUGGGGGAGUGUGUGUUCAAGGGUCAACCGCACUUCCUGAGGGCACUGUGAGAACUAAGUUAAAUAACCCACUUUUACAAUCUUUGGAACCGGGGGCAGGUGGCUGGGGCUCACACCUGUAAUUACAGCACUUUGGGAGGCUGAGGCAGGAAGAUCCCUUGAGGCCAAGAGUUUGAGACCAGCCUGGGCAACAAAGCAAGACUCUGUCUCUACAAAAAUUUU